GGCUUGAUAGCAAAGAGGUCAAAUGCGUCUGACUAAGUAUCAGAUCCUAUUAGGUUCGCAGGUUCGAAUCCUGCUCAAGCUU
rnacentral:tRNA from 1 species